rnacentral:lncRNA from 1 species
CUUUCUCUGCCGCCCAGGCUGGAGUGCAGUGGCAUGAUCAUAGCUCACUGCAGCUUCCAGCUCCUCAGCUCAACUGAGCCUCCCACCUUAGCCUCCCAAGUAGCUGGAACCACAGUUGUGUACCACCAUGAUAGCACUUGAAAAUAUUGGCUAUUUCCUUCUGACCCCCAUGGUUUCUUUUAAAAAAUUUGCUGUUGUUUGAAUUAUUUUUCUCUACAGGUAUUGACUGCUGCCUCAUGAAGGCUGGUCCUGUCUCUAUAGUGAAUAUUGUGCACCUCAGGGUAGAAUGGAGAGCAGAAGACUUCAAAUCAGGCAGUCUGGGUUCAGACCCCAAUUCUAGUGCUAAAUAGCUACGUGACUUUAGGCCGAUUGUGUGUGACUUCCCUGAGCCCCAGUCUCUUUGCCUGCAAAAUGAGAAAAAUUAUAACAAUGUCAUCGGUUGUUCUGAGGAUUCUGAGAGGAAUUAGUAGGAGAGAGAACUAAGAAGCUGCGGGCCUCUACAGAGCCAUUCAACUGGCAUUUCGGAAGAUGUUGCCCAUCAGAGUCAGACCUUCUUAGCAUCUUCCGGCUGGGCCCAAACUUCCCAAGACCAUUUGGACAAGGUCAUCUCUAUCCCACCAUGGCCUCCUCCCAGAGGAGGAGAAGAAUCAUGCUGUUACAGCAGAACCGAAGAUUUGGGCAAGGGAGCUAAUGAUUAUGUUCUGCGUCAGGUCAGAGAUGGGCUGGGAAAGCCACUCCAAAGCCAAGACAAGCAGUUUCCUGGAAAAAGAAGGCUGCGCGGAGCCCAGAGUGGCCUGGAUCCUGCCUCAUUUCCUGGACCAGCUCCUUAGGUGGUUACUGGAUUGCCAAUAAAGCAGAGCUUAUUAAAGUCAACGAGCUCAGGCUUCAUCGCCGCCAUGGUAUCCAAGCACCAGUCUGUCUGGGAUUUCAUUUGCCAGAUGGACAAAGGAGAGGUUGUUCCAAUACAUAUCCUGAGUGGUGGGGGUGGGGAGAGAAGGGGAAGAAUGCUCUCUAGAGAAUUCUCUUUGUCCUCUGAAGUAAAUAGAGAUCAUGUCUUCCCCAGCCACACUCAGUGAUCUGAAUCUCUUGGACUGUGGAUUUUUCCUUUACCUGCUGUGAAGCCUUGAAAAGUAUGAAUUAGCUUGAUAAUGAUCCUCUAAAGAUGUUCAAGAGUUAAAGACGUGUUUAAGUUCUUCAGGCAAUCCAAUAUGACUACGGGUUUCCAAAAAUUUGAAGGAAACUGAAAAUCAUAGUUCCCAAACCAGAUAUUUUCCGGUGUCCAGAUGUUCACUGGCAUGCAAACCAAAUGUCUGGAUUAUGAGCUCCUUUUUUCAUUUCUUUUUAUCAGCUUACAUCCAGAUGUUGGAUCCAACUGGUCAGAGGCCUGGGGCAGAGACAGAAAUCAAAUCUAGGGUGUUCAUCUAGAGUCUCCUGCUCCUCCAUUCCUGCUUCCUCCUCACGCUGCCCCCACAUCCUCCCCAACUCACCUUCAUGCUACAUCUCGGCAAAUACAGCUCAUAUCCAGGCACGGUGCAGCCCUUGACAGCUGGGUCCGCAAAGGCAGAUCGGGUAUAUCUUUAAAGAAAAGUUAUCUUAACCAUUGAGAAGCCUUCCUUCCUCAGAGGAGAGCACCUCCCCAGCAGACCUCCGAGGAGACCAAGGGCAGGACAGGAAGGGUGAAAGGAAGUUUCAGGACUGCAGGAAAUAAGAGCUUGGAGGUCAAGGGAGAGAUCAGAUAAAACAUGAAUCUGAUCAGCAUCCUAGUGGUCUAGAGUGGAGACAAUCUGCGGAGUCAACCUCAGUAAGGACACACAUAGAGAAGAACCAAAGCCUCUAAAGACGAAGCUGAGAAGUGUACGGUCGUAGAAGACUCGUGUCUGUUAUUCUUAAAAGCUCAAGGAGAUGUUCUGCCAAUUGAAUGGAAACUGUCCAUAGUGGGGAGCAGAGAGCCUCAUCUUUUCUGGAACUGAACAUCCAUCCUUAAGGCCAGAUUUCUCCCAUCACCAACUUUAACUCCUGCCCUAGCCCUCUCUCUUCCUUUUCAAAACCCUCUCCACCCAGGAAGGGAGAUUCUGGAGCCAAGACUGUACCAGCCACACCUCCCCAGAGUUGUUAAGGAAGGAACUCGAAGCCAGGGGUGGUCUUCUGGCAAGCACCCCCACUACCAGUAGCAGGACAGAUGUGUUUCUAAUGGACUACACUAUCCCCGGAGGUCACAUGAUUCAGGCUGCCAAGGGUACCUGCCCUUGGGAAAUCAACUCCCGAAGAUAAAUUGGGAUUGGGUCCUGAGAAGAUCCAUGGAAGCCCAGAGGACCCUGCCUCUCUCUGUUGCUUCAUGCUGUAGAGGCAGUACUGGGGAGGGCCUGCCCCACAUCCGGCAGGGCAGCUGGAACCAUGUGUUUGAUGACACUCUGCUCCCUCAAUGUGGAGCCUCAUCCUCAUCUCACAGUCUAGCAGGCCUCUGGUGGGUUAGGCUUGUCUCACCCAGUGUGUGAGUUUUUUUGGAAGUGACCUGAUUUUGGAGUUUCCCUCCAAGCCUUUCUCAGGUACAUGCUUUCUCUUUUAUUCUGUCUUCUUUUUUUGAUCUUCUUAAAUCUGAUUUUCUCCUUUUUCCCUCUCUUGUCUCCAUCUUUUUUCCAGUCUCUCGCUUCUCUUUAUUUCUCCCCAUAUUUCACUCUGUUCUCUCACCCCAACCUUUCCCUUCUGUUUCUCUCCCUCCCUCUCUUCCCACCCCCUGCCUGGCCUUCCAUAUAUCAAGCAGAGUUUUAUCACCUUAUGCAGGGGCAGCCCUGCCACCUGCCAUAAAGUUGAUAGGCUAAUGACAUUUUGUGGAUAUUGCCAUGUCACAAGUCCAGGACAGCAUCAAAAAUAGCCCUGAUGUCUAAACCACUUCAGCUAUCUUUUUUAUUUUUAAAAUAAAUACAUUCACAUGCUUUUAAGAAACUAUAAAAAUAUAUAAAGUAAAAAGAUCUUUCUCUCACACUGUCUCCACCUCUCCUGGUCUCACCGUUGUGCUUAGGGGAAACCAUUGUGAUUAGUUUCUCCUGUGUCCUUCCAGAGUGUCUUUAUGCAAAUGAAAAUUAUUGUGAUAAUAUAUUCCUAUUUUCCCCCUUACUACACAAAAGAUAGACUACCAUAAUCCCAUUCUGCACUUUUUUUUCACUUGAUAAUAAAAACAUGAUUUUAUUAA